rnacentral:rRNA from 1 species
GGUCAAGCGAACAAGUGCAUGUGGUGGAUGCCUUGGCGAUCACAGGCGAUGAAGGACGCGGUAGCCUGCGAAAAGCUACGGGGAGCUGGCAAACGAGCUUUGAUCCGUAGAUGUCCGAAUGGGGAAACCCGGCCCUUUUGGGUCAUCCUGGACUGAAUACAUAGGUCCAGUGAAGCGAACGCGGUGAACUGAAACAUCUAAGUAACCGCAGGAAAAGAAAUCAACCGAGAUUCCCAAAGUAGUGGCGAGCGAAAUGGGAUGAGCCUUGCACUCUUUAUUUGUAUUGUUAGCCGAACGCUCUGGAAAGUGCGGCCAUAGCAGGUGAUAGCCCUGUAGGCGAAAACAGUAUGAAAGAACUAGGUGUGCGACAAGUAGGGCGGGACACGUGAAAUCCUGUCUGAAGAUGGGGGGACCAUCCUCCAAGGCUAAAUACUCGUGAUCGACCGAUAGUGAACCAGUACCGUGAGGGAAAGGCGAAAAGAACCCCGGGAGGGGAGUGAAAUAGAUCCUGAAACCGCAUGCAUACAAACAGUCGGAGCCUCGUAAGGGGUGACGGCGUACCUUUUGUAUAAUGGGUCAGCGACUUACGUUCAGUAGCAAGCUUAACCGUAUAGGGCAGGCGUAGCGAAAGCGAGUCCGAAUAGGGCGUUCAGUUGCUGGGCGUAGACCCGAAACCAGGUGAUCUAUCCAUGGCCAGGAUGAAGGUGCGGUAACACGUACUGGAGGUCCGAACCCACUAACGUUGAAAAGUUAGGGGAUGAGCUGUGGAUAGGGGUGAAAGGCUAAACAAACCUGGAAAUAGCUGGUUCUCUCCGAAAACUAUUUAGGUAGUGCCUCGUGUCUCACCUUCGGGGGUAGAGCACUGUCAUGGUUGGGGGGUCUAUUGCAGAUUACCCCGCCAUAGCAAACUCCGAAUACCGAAGAGUGCAAUCACGGGAGACAGACAUCGGGUGCUAACGUCCGGUGUCAAGAGGGAAACAACCCAGACCGCCAGCUAAGGUCCCCAAAUAUAGCUAAGUGGGAAACGAAGUGGGAAGGCUAAAACAGUCAGGAGGUUGGCUUAGAAGCAGCCACCCUUUAAAGAAAGCGUAAUAGCUCACUGAUCGAGUCGUCCUGCGCGGAAGAUGUAACGGGGCUAAGCUAUAUACCGAAGCUGCGGAUGCGAGCUUGCUCGCAUGGUAGGAGAGCGUUCCGUAAGCCUGCGAAGGUGCCUUGUAAAGGGUGCUGGAGGUAUCGGAAGUGCGAAUGCUGACAUGAGUAGCGAUAAAGGGGGUGAAAGGCCCCCUCGCCGUAAGCCCAAGGUUUCCUACGCAACGUUCAUCGGCGUAGGGUGAGUCGGCCCCUAAGGCGAGGCAGAAAUGCGUAGCUGAUGGGAAGCAGGUCAAUAUUCCUGCACCAUUGUUAGAUGCGAUGGGGGGACGGAUCGCGGAAGGUUGUCCGGGUGUUGGAAGUCCCGGUCGCUGCAUUGGAGAAGGCGCUUAGGCAAAUCCGGGCGCGUAAUUCAAGGGUGUGGCGCGAGCUCCUUAGGGAGCGAAGCAAUUGGAAGUGGUUCCAAGAAAAGCCUCUAAGCUUCAGUCUAACGAUGACCGUACCGCAAACCGACACAGGUGGGCGAGAUGAGUAUUCUAAGGCGCUUGAGAGAACUCGGGAGAAGGAACUCGGCAAAUUGGUACCGUAACUUCGGGAUAAGGUACGCCCUUGUAGCUUGACUGGCCUGCGCCAGGAGGGUGAAGGGGUUGCAAUAAACUGGUGGCUGCGACUGUUUAAUAAAAACACAGCACUCUGCAAACACGAAAGUGGACGUAUAGGGUGUGACGCCUGCCCGGUGCCGGAAGAUUAAAUGAUGGGGUGCAAGCUCUUGAUUGAAGUCCCGGUAAACGGCGGCCGUAACUAUAACGGUCCUAAGGUAGCGAAAUUCCUUGUCGGGUAAGUUCCGACCUGCACGAAUGGCGUAACGAUGGCCACACUGUCUCCUCCCGAGACUCAGCGAAGUUGAAGUGUUUGUGAUGAUGCAAUCUACCCGCGGCUAGACGGAAAGACCCCAUGAACCUUUACUGUAGCUUUGCAUUGGACUUUGAACCGAUCUGUGUAGGAUAGGUGGGAGGCUAUGAAACCGGAACGCUAGUUUCGGUGGAGCCGUCCUUGAAAUACCACCCUGGUUUGUUUGAGGUUCUAACCUUGGCCCGUGAUCCGGGUCGGGGACAGUGCAUGGUAGGCAGUUUGACUGGGGCGGUCUCCUCCCAAAGCGUAACGGAGGAGUACGAAGGUACGCUAGGUACGGUCGGAAAUCGUGCUGAUAGUGCAAUGGCAUAAGCGUGCUUAACUGCGAGACCGACAAGUCGAGCAGGUGCGAAAGCAGGUCAUAGUGAUCCGGUGGUUCUGUAUGGAAGGGCCAUCGCUCAACGGAUAAAAGGUACUCUGGGGAUAACAGGCUGAUACCGCCCAAGAGUUCAUAUCGACGGCGGUGUUUGGCACCUCGAUGUCGGCUCAUCUCAUCCUGGGGCUGUAGCCGGUCCCAAGGGUAUGGCUGUUCGCCAUUUAAAGAGGUACGUGAGCUGGGUUUAAAACGUCGUGAGACAGUUUGGUCCCUAUCUGCCGUGGGCGUUGGAUAUUUGAAGGGGGCUGCUCCUAGUACGAGAGGACCGGAGUGGACGAACCUCUGGUGUACCGGUUGUCACGCCAGUGGCAUCGCCGGGUAGCUAUGUUCGGAAGAGAUAACCGCUGAAAGCAUCUAAGCGGGAAACUCGCCUUAAGAUGAGAUAUCCCUGGGGACUAGAUCCCCUUGAAGGGUCGUUCGAGACCAGGACGUUGAUAGGUCAGGUGUGUAAGCGCAGUAAUGCGUUCAGCUAACUGAUACUAAUUGCCCGUAAGGCUUGAUCCU